CUGCUGCCUUCCGUAGGAGUCUGGGCCGUGUCUCAGUCCCAGUGUGGCCGUCCACCCUCUCAGGCCGGCUGCUGAUCGUCGCUUUGGUGGGCCGUUACCCCGCCAACUGGCUAAUCAGACGCGGGCCCAUCCUGUACCACCGGAGUUUUCAAAGGAUUACCAUGCGGUAUUCCCUAUUAUGCGGUAUUAGCACCUAUUUCUAAGUGUUAUCCCCCGGUANACGGCAGGUUNCCCACGCGUUACUCACCCGUCCGCCACUAACGCA
rnacentral:rRNA from 1 species